UGUCCGCAAUGGUCGAAAGCCUGACGGAGCAAAACCGCGUGACCGAGGAAGCCUCUUGGGUUGUAUACCUCUUGGCUCAAGGAAGAAUGAUGACGGUACUUGAGGAAUCAGCAUCGGCUAACUCCGUGCCAGCAGCCGCGGUAAUACGGAGGAUGCAAGCGUUAUCCGGAAUGAUUGGGCGUAAAGCGUCCGUAGGUGGCUGUGUGUGUCUAGUGUUAAAGAGUUUGGCUCAACCAAAUAAGGGCGGUAGAACCUACACAGCUAGAGUGCGUUCGGGGCAGAGGGAAUUCCUGGUGUAGCGGUGAAAUGCGUAGAGAUCAGGCCCAACACCGGUGGCGAAAGCGCUCUGCUAGGCCGCUACUGACACUGAGCCACGAAAGCUAGGGGA
rnacentral:rRNA from 1 species